CCCCUGGCUUCAUCUAGUGUUUGGCCAAGUUUCUCUGCAUUUGCUCCCAUCAGUUGCUGCAUGACGCUUCUCUGAGAACAGUUGGACCAGGUCCCUGCCCUGCUUGAGUUCCUGUCCUGACGUCCUUUGAUGGUGAACUGUGAUGUGGAAGCAUAAACCAAAUAAAGCCUCUCCUCUCCACAGUGCUUUAGUCACGGUGUCUCAUCACAGCCAUAGUGACUGUCCAGGACAAAGACUAACCACAUAUGCAAGCUCCAAGUCCCAGAGACCCUGCAUCAGAAGAAUGAAAUGCGAGAGUGAGGGAGGGAUAUUCUCAGCAUCGGCCUUGGGCUUCCACAAACAUCUCCACACUGUGCCAAGGCACAUCUGAACAUGCACACACAGACAAAUGAAAGAAAGAAAAACAUAAAAGGUUCAAUAAAGUUACAGUAGAAAAUGUCCCAAA